UGACCUUCUGGUUUGGGUGAGUUCUAGCGCCCCCCUUUGGCAAGGUGGAGCUCCUGAUUUUUCUCUUGAUCUUGCCCUGUACAUGUGUAAAUGCUCUUCUUUUUUAUUUCUAACCAAAGGGGUGUGACCAGUCAGCUGUCAAACACCUGGCAUGUUUAUAAUAUAAAACUAUCCUAGAGUAAGAUGUAUGAGACAUAAGGGCAGGUAUUUUUUAAUUUACAGAUACGUCAUCCGGCACUUCUGAUGAUCUGAUAAUUAUCUUAUUGAUCAGCAAAAAUACAUCAAAGAUAUUUCUCAUAAUUUUGAAAUAAUAAUCUCAUUUUUCAGAAAAACAGAGCAGUUUUUUUUUGUAAAGAGGAUGCAAUAGGCUUCAAACUUUUAAAUAAAGUAAAUUAUUUAAUUAUUCUGUUUUUAUCUGCUUUACCUCAACUAUUCAUCAUAAUUGUUAUUUCAUCUGUAGCACUUUAAUGACUAAACACACUUUAUGGAGCUUUGUCGUAUUUUUUAGCCUCUGGCUUUUUGUGGUUUAAGUGCUUUUAUUUUCCACUUAUGCUUAGAAUUUUUAUGUAUUAUUUUGCGUGUUAUGUAAAGAUGAUGAUGAUGAUAAAGUUGAGCUAAGAGUCUAACUGUCAUGGCUAUGCUGAUGCAACCUGUGUUGUUAUGAGGCAGGCAGGACCACAACACCUAACUUUAUGUGGUUUUAAUACACUGAAUUUUUUUAAUCUAUUCUUGACAGUAUAAAGGAUGGCACUGUUGGCUAUGGCCCAGAGGUAAGAGACAAAAUAUACAGUAUGUGUUGUUGUUGUUGUUGUUGCUGGCUAUGCAUGCAUCUGCAUCCUGCCUUCUUCUAGACGGUUGUGAUUAUUUAAUGAGUACAUUGAUUCCCAGGUACAAAAUAAUCUUUCACAGUGAUAGUCAUUCUUAGCAUUUAAUUUAUAACAAUUUAUUAAGAAUACAUAUUGCAGCAUAUGUAUACUGUACAACAGUACAACACACAUGCUUUGAAAGCACUUCUGAAAGACACGUCACUUGUGGUGCAAUACAAAACAAAGCCAGUAGGUGGAAGUGCAAACCAAAUAACUUGAUCUUUUCAACUGACAAGCUUGAAUGAAAAGCUCCCAACUGCGACCGGCAAGACUAAAGGCAAAGAUGGGAACAUUUUAGAUUUUUGCAGACACCAGGAUGUCAGCAGUUAGACAUGAGCCAUGCAAAAAACAAAACAAAACAAAAAAGGUAGGUACUGCAGCAGAGAAACGUGGACUUAAAUUCAAGUGAAAUCAAAAAAUUGAAGAGGACACACAGAAAGAGCUUUUUUAAAAUUUGACAAAUAAAGAAUAUUUUGUCCUCAUUAAAUGAUAGCUGUGGAUUAUACACAGUCUCAUUAAACAAUUAGUCUCGGUAUGCCUUGAGUGUCUUUGAGCCUCCAAGUGUUUUGAGUUCCUGCCAUACGUCUAUCUGCCCUUCUUCUCGCACUUCCUAUCACUGAUCAUCUUGAUAUGAGUUAAAGACAAAGGGGGUUUUUGAGUCCAAAUUUACAAUUCUGCUCCCAGACUUGGCUCUCAUCAUCAGUUCAUACAUCGCUUAAACCUUACCUCCCAUUUCUGUAAAUUAUCUUGUUUUUUUCCUCUGUCUUUUAUUCCACUUUUUCAUCAUCAUAUUAACUCACCAAAAUGCGAAGCAUGUGGCAACGCAAGAGCAAGGGCAGAGGAGGAUGAGUUAAAUUGCUCGUCUUGGAGUUCAGACUCUUCCAGAAGUGUUUCCCCCAGGCAUCUGGAGACUGAUGUGGGUCAUGAUUCUCUACCCUAAGAAACAAAACGUGAAUACCUUUGGUAAGAGCCUAGUCGUACAAAACUUUAAAACAAAUUUAUCACUUUUUCUUGGUGGACACCCCUAAUAAUAAAACUCUAUUUCCUAAGAUAUAAAAUGUAGAAUAAAACCGUAAAGGUGGUGCAAUGCAUCAUUCCUUUUUAUGUUACAUUUUUAUUUUCAUCGGCUGUAAAAAAAAUAAAAUAGAGAAAAAAAUGGUUCAAAGACUUAAAGUUUAAUGUCAGCUAUUGCUAAUAUCUAAUAUUUCUAGGCAGAAGAAUGUGCCGGUGCUGUAGGGUAAUGCAUCAUUGGAAAAAAAGCAGGCGGUGAGGUGUAUUCUAGCUGUAAUUUCCUAUAUGCUACCAUGGAGGCUGUGCUGUGCUUUUGUUAUUGAAAUCAGCAGCAGUCCUCCCUGUUACUACACUGUUUCUUUGUUUAACUGCAGCUCUCUUAUGCCAGGAAAUUGUGUAAAGACAGAGCAGUAUUUUUAGUUUCUAUCAUUUGUAUACUGACAACUAUUACAUUUUUUUGUCUCAAGUAAUAAUGUAUAGAGUUUAAUAAUUUGAUUUUUGCAUAACCACUUUAGUAUCUUAUUUGAAGGGGGAAAAAAAGCCCAAAGUUUUUUCUUUCUUUAUUAACAUGCAAGUCUGCCAAAAAAAUGCCUAAUGCCAUAAUCUAUCAACAAUCAAUGAGUAAGCCUUAAAUAUACAGUGAUGUUGAGAUGUUUCAGCUGGGGGUUAGCAUUGUUUCCUCUGAUUAAAGCCAGAAGUAAGAGGUUUAUUUUCACCUCAGAUGGAGACGAGGAUAAUAGACACCUCAUGUAGUGACCUCGCUGUGAUGAUCUCCCUCGCCUCAUGAUGAUCCCCUAAUUAAUGGCCCGGCUGCUGAUGGCCCUGAAUUAGUUUGCAAAACAAAUGAGGACCACUGCUGUGCCACUGGAACCUCUGAGGGACAGAGCAGUGAAGGGAGCAUAAAUGAAUAGUCAGGCUUAUACCUCUGUAAUAUUUACAAACAUCUUUAUUUCUGCUGGUUUAAUUUUAGUAUUCAUACAUGGUCCAGCUCGAUCCAGGUCUUUGUCGUGUUGAGUUCAGAUAAGAUGGGUGUAUUUGGCGUAAGUUUGACACAGACGGGUGUUAAAACUCAGCCCACACACUCAGUCGGACUUUUUUAAAAGAACUUUUAGCUUUAUGCGGCUCAGGAGGUGUGUUGCUUUGCGAAAUUCAAAUCGGGUAAAACAUUAAAGGGAUUUUUCAGGUGCCACUUCAUCAAUAGAAUAAUGGGGGUAAUUAUCCCUCGAGUGGAGAAAGGUCUGCAGUUUAAGCGGACUGUUUAAUUGAAGCUGGGGUUUAGCCGUCACUAGAUGAAGUCCAGGAAACAGGUCUACAUCUGUUAGUGUGUGUGUGAGAGCGAAAGAGGGAGAGAAAAAGAGAGAGAGAGAUUGUGUUUGUGGUUUGUGACUGACAAAGUUUGACGAGUGUAUAACAUCCAUCUUCUGGGUGUCAAGUUUAUCAGUUAACAUUUAUAACUCUUCCCUGUCGUUGACUUUAAUUUGCAGUGAUGUGGUGACAUGGCCUUGAGUUUUAAGUCAUGCUGUUGUCUUCGAAAAGAUAAUAACAAAUGUAAAAACACCUGUGUGUAUAGAUCUGACUUUCCUUGCCAAGUUACAUGGCGAAAUGUUAAUUAGGUAAUAUGUAAUCAGGCCAACUGGUCUCUUGAGUUUAUGAGGCAUUUUGUUUGUAGUUAUAUGUCAAAAAAGUGAUGUGUUUUGCACUUACGUGGCAUUUCUUAAAUUGUUGUUGGCAUACCAAUUUAUUCUUUGUUUUAAAUCAAGAAUUUAAAGAGUCAAGAUGGAAAUGCCAUGAAAUGGAAACACCAACAAACAACAUUUCCACUAAGUCAAUAUAAACGUUACAUAUGAUUUGACACAGAAUACAUUUGCACCUGUGAAGUAGCAGCAGCUCUGAUCAUCUUAAAAAGGCUUUCGCUCAUCUCCUCGUGCUUGCCUUUUUCACUCUUAGUAGUCACCUGAACUUAGUGACCUUUCACCGCAUCAUACCGCAGAGAGUCUGCUGCCAAGUCAUAAUCCACACAGCCUUAUCAGAUUGUAUGAUUUGCAUUUAUAUUGAUGGCAGGAAUGUGAUGAUUGAUGCCGCUGUGAUUGCAGCAGCUACUGCCUGGACUGAGACGGAUACAUAAAAUGACAUAUUGGAUCAUCUGAGUGACUUUUGGCCUCAAAAACUUCACUGAAAUCAGAGGAUAUCUUAUUUUUUCUGCUUCACACAACUUUCUGGUGAAGUCAGUUUUUCUUCAUCAUUUAAUGCGAAUUAAAAAACAGUGAUAGUGACAAAAUAAUAAAAGCCGAAUCAACCUGCCAACUAGUAUACACUGAAAAAACAAUAUAAACGCAACGUUUUUGUUUUUGCUCCCACUUUUCAUAAGCUGAACUCAAAGAUCCAAGACUUUCUCUAUGUACACAAAAGACCUAUUGCUCUCAAAUAUGGUUGACAAAUUUGCCUAAAUCUGUGUUAGUGAGCACUUCUCCUUUGCUGAGAUAAUCCAUCCACCAAGAUGCUGAUUAGACAGCAUGAUUAGUGCACAGGUGAUCCUUAGACUGGCCACGAUAAAAGGCAAAUUUAAAUAUCAGACGAAGAUAAACACAGUUUUUAUUAGGGAAAAAAGCUGUCCAAACCAACCAGUCAUUGCCCUCCUUGUUAAGUCAUUAAUUAACGGUGAGUUACCAUGUUUUUUUGGAAAGCUGAGUUUAACUUCAGCAGCUCAAUUGGAGCUUUAUAUGAGUGCAGUAAGUUUCAUGUUUUAAUGCCUUCUCCGCUGACAUUUACCAGCAGCAUUACAUGACCUCUAGUAUGCUAAUGACCACUUUAUUUUACCAGUAGCUAUAAAGUAAAAAUGAAUACAUUAUCCUUAUCCUUAUGUCUGAUGUGUAAUAAGUCCCAUAUUGUAAUUACAGUCUGACCUAAUAACCUUUAAAUGGUUAGUUUUAAUUGGCUACUCAAGGUUUUCUCCCCAGGACUUAAACACUGUAUAAACAAAUUAUAUACUCCAGCUGUUUCACACAUGCUAGCUCACGCAGACACACACUCAAAAUACACAAGGUUCUUUUUACUCUCAUUUUUUUCAGCGUUUUCGUACAUCUUAUAGUGACUUUUCACUUAAUGAGCAACUUCUAGAUUGAUUGGUUCCUACGACGUGUAAACAUGUGUAACCCUCUUGAGGAAAUCAUUUGACAGACACAAUAAGUAACUGGAGCCGUGGUGUGGUUUAAAGAUAAGUUUUGUAUUAAAACAGAAACAUCAAAUCAGCAUUGAAGUGCUGUCUAAAUAAAGGUUUAAAAGUAAUUAGUGAACAAUACACUGUUCACUGUGCUUUACAGGGGACAAAUGCAAACAAACACAUCAAAUUUUGAAUAAAAAACAUUUACGACAUAAAAUGACAUUGCACCAACUCAUGUAACUCACACACAAAAGUGAAGGUUUUGGAAGUAUUGAGGGAUUUAAGAUCAAAUCGUCAUGACUAAUAAUUUAUAAUGUAUGGAAUUUCUGUGUUUUGGCGUACGUCUGCUGGUUAGAUUUUCUCCAGGGGAGGGCUACAAACAUAGACUGUAUAUAUAUUAUGGACAACUUGGUUCCGCCUUCCACCAGUCUACGGAUGUGAAGCCAUAAAGCUCUCGGUAAUUCCAUGUUUUUUCUUCACUUCCUGAAACCAACAUUGCCCAGUAGUGUUGUACGCACUCCACCAUUUGCGCAGUAGCAUUGAAUGCAUUUGGCGGGGACUUGAGCACAAACCAGUCUGAUCAGGUCCAAGCCAUUUAACCCUCAGUCAGCAAAGACCUUCUCCCAAACAACAUUAUUUUCAGAAACUUAACUCUCUGUGACUCCACUCUCCUUUCAAAAGUGACUGAAUUACUGAGCGUCUGCAUUAUAAAAGUAUGAAUUAAAACAGAGGGAUCCCUGUACCAAAGAAGCCCUCUGUUACAUGUCUCAAUAAUGACAACCACCCUUUGGCACUGACUCCCGUCAUGAUCAAGUACUUUGAGCAGCUGUUCAUGAGACACAUCAAAUCAUUCCAUUCCACUUCACUGGGCCCCCACCGGUUUGCAAACCACUCCACAGAUGACACCAUUUCAUACAUCCUUCAUUCAGCCCUCUUUCACCAGGACACUAAUGACACAUACGUCAGAAUGCUGUUCAUUGACUUCAACCCAGCAUUCAAUACCAUCACCCCCCAGAGGCUGAUCAAGAAACUUUCUUUCCCAGGCCUCCAUAUCGUCCUCUACAACUGGAUUCUUGACUCACUGACAGAGAGACCACACUGUGUAAAUCAGCAGCGGACAAUCAGGUUCCAUCAUGCUGAGCACAGGCGCCCCAAUGUCAGAAGCCAACCUCUUGUCAAGUUUGCAGCCUAAUCAGCAAUAAUCAUCAGCAACAAUAACGAAACACCCCACAGGGAAAGAGUGGAGCAGCUGGCAAGAUGGUGCAGUCACAUCAAACAAUCUCUUGAUAAGAACACAAAAGAGAUGGUUGUUAACUUCAGGAGGACACCAACCGACCACCCUUCCCUUCAUAGGGUCAGGAAUACCAAGUGCAUCUCUCUGACAACCACACCUCGGCAGUCAAGAAGGCACCACUAUAAUGCCUCCAUUUCCUGCAGAGACUGAAGAGAGCCAACCUCCCAUCACCAGUCCUCACUUCCUUCUACAGAGGCACUGUAGAAGAGCGUCCUGGCCUCCUGCAUCACUGGGUGGUUUAGGGAUUCCAUAGCAAUGGAACGGAAUACCCAACAAUGCAUAGUGAGGAGAGCUGAGAGGAUCAUAGGGGCCUCACUCUUCUCCAUCUAGGACGUCUUCAGGACACACUGUGCAUGCAGAGCCUCCACAAUCAGGAAGGACCCUCCCACAAACUAUAUGUAUGCCUUUCAUCAGGCAACAGGUGUUACAGCAUCAGGACCUGCACAACAAGAUUCUGCAACAGCUUUUUUCUCUAAAACCAUCUUAUUACUGACAUUCACAUCUAUCCCUCUGCCCCCCACCAUCUCUGACUGACCUCUUCCUAUAUCACCACACUCAAUCAUAUACUGUACAGUCAACAUGCACUGCCACUCUGUGCUGGACAAUAAUCUCUGUCACCUGUACCUUAUAUCACCACUGUGCCUGCACUGUAUUCAGAUAUUAAAAUAUUGAUUUACUGCCUUCAUAUUUAUUUUUAACUGACAUUUUGCAAAGACUAUCUCCAACAUGACACUUAAAUUUUCUCUUCAUCCUGGUAUUUCACUUCCUACCUCAGGCCUCGGUCCCUUAGUAAUUCAUUAUUUAUUCAAUAUGCAACAUUCAGUGAAAUGUAUACCAGCAUCAAUAUCUAGGAUAUCCUGACAGUCUGUCUCCUUGUUGUUUGAUCUUGUUAGUCAUUGGAUAUUUUUUAUUAUUAUUUGCACUUUUUGUCUUCUUUAUCUAUCCAGUGUUUAUUUGCAAUUAAUUGGCACCUGGUCUUUGAGAAACACCAAUUUAUACAAUUGAAUACAUGGUAUCUAGAUAAAUGACAAUAAAGUUGACUGAUUUCUAAAGAUAUAUAAUUCAAUAUUAGUCCCCCAUUCUCCAGGUCAAAUGGUUUAAGUUUACAAGGGCAGAAAGAUUGAAUAAGAUGAGACCUGCAGAGAAAACCAGCCACUGUGAGCUAGAUGAGAAAAAAGUAAUACAGCUUAUUGCUCUUUGUUAUCAUCAUACUUAAUGUUGUCAUGCAUAUUUUCUGUUAUCUGUAGGAUUGUCACUUUCCUGUUCCUAAACCUUCUUGGUUGCAGCGUCUUUGUCAGUAUAGGGCAGAGUAACAGUAACCUCUUUAAACAGAGCCUUAGCAAAACACAUACAAGGUAAGGGUUUAUAUGGGGUUUCUCUCCUCCCUGUCUUUGUUAUCUGCACUCAGUCCAAUACAGCAUUAGAUUGAAUUUUUUCAUGAAGGACAGCGUCGAGUUUACAUUUCUCAACAUGAGUUCUUGACGCACACGAACACUCACAUCCUCUUUCAUUCUCUUCACUCUCUCGCUCUGACAAACACACACAAAAACACGAGAUGAUGGAGCUCCUC
rnacentral:lncRNA from 1 species